rnacentral:rRNA from 1 species
CACGUAGGGCGCAAGCGUUGUCCGGAAUUAUUGGGCGUAAAGAGCUCGUAGGCGGUCUGUUACGUCUGCUGUGAAAACCCAGGGCUUAACCCUGGGCUUGCAGUGGAUACGGGCAGACUAGAGGCAGGUAGGGGAGAAUGGAAUUCCCGGUGUAGCGGUGAAAUGCGCAGAUAUCGGGAGGAACACCGGUGGCGAGGGCGGUUCUCUGGGCCUGACCUGACGCUGAGGAGCGAAAGCGUGGGGAGCGAACAGG